UACGUAGGGUGCGAGCGUUGUCCGGAAUUAUUGGGCGUAAAGGGCUCGUAGGCGGUUUGUCGCGUCGGGAGUGAAAACACUGGGCUUAACUCAGUGCUUGCUUCCGAUACGGGCAGACUAGAGGUAUUCAGGGGAGAACGGAAUUCCUGGUGUGAGCGGUGAAAUGACGCAGAUAUCAGGAGGAACACCGGUGGCGAAGGCGGAUCUCUGGGCCUUACCUGACGCUCAGGCGCGAAAGCUAGGGGAGCGAACUGG
rnacentral:rRNA from 1 species